rnacentral:piRNA from 1 species
UACAUGGUUUCUCCUUUAUUU